rfam:Oryza nivara chromosome 4, whole genome shotgun sequence.
AAAAAGAUAAACCCUAUAUUUUCAUGUCCAACAUUUGACUGUUCGUCUUAUAUGAAAUUUUUUUAUAAUUAGUAUUUUUAUUGUUGUUAGAUGAUAAAACAUGAUUAAUACUUUAUGCAUGACUUGUCUUUUAAAAUUUUUAUAACUUUUUUAAAUAAGACAUGACGGUCAAAUGUUGAACACGGAAACCCAAGGUUUAUCUUUUU